CCUGUCCUAUUAGCACCUUACCGCUGUGUCAGUGGAAUGAAGCCAGUCCGUCAAGCAUGGAGUAAGAAGAUGGCCAAUGAUGAAGUAGAAAAGCCAAGCCUCUGCAGAUAACAAGUCCAUCAGCACCUUGACCAGGCGAUGAAGAACCAAUUGGGGAACAGGAUCUCAGCAUCAGAACUACCAUUACAAGGGAACUGGCAAUGAGAGACAAAUGAUAUACAUGGAAUGAUGUCAGUUUAAACCAGAGUGGACAUUGUCUUAAGUGCCUCACAAGGGAGAGAGACCACCGCAUCCUCUCCCAGGGAUCUUAAUCACAGCUGAGACUCCGGCUAUUUCAAGCAUAGAAGCUUCUAAUUGACUUUCAGAGCUGUAAUGCAUGUCUGGGACUCAUGGAGAAUAUGAACAAACUCACUGCAAAGCCUUCUGGAUACUUUCUCCCAGGUGAGAUUGGUGUUUUCUGAAAUUCAGAGAUUCUUCCAUUUUCAAAUCUCAAAAUCAAGACCUCAUUUGAUUCAA
rnacentral:lncRNA from 1 species